AUGCCAAUAAGCAUUUCGUUUAAAGUUACAAGAGGUAAAGAAUUUAGCAUAUCUGUUGAACCUGAUAUAACAGUUUUGGAAUUAAAGCAAAAAUGUUCCGAACAUGUAGAUAUACCUGUUGAGUCACAAAGAAUUAUUUUUAAAGGUAAAAUAUUAAAAGACAAAGAAACUUUAACAUUUUACAAUGUCGCAGAUGGAAAUACUAUGCAUUUAGUUCGUAGUGCCAUAGUUCCCAAAGAACCUGAACCUGAGAAGGAAAAUAACAAUAACGAAAACGCAAGUAUCAAUCAAAACACAAACCCAGCUGAUAGCGUAAACGAUUUCAAUGAAAAUCCAUUGGUACAAUUGUUAAUGCAAAAUGGAAAUAGAGAUGCGAACAAUUUUAACAUGGGCGCAGGAGGUACAGAAGGCUUUAACUUAGGAAAUUUCGCAAAUUUAUUAAAUGCAAACGGUGGUGGUGAAUUUAAUAGAGAUAGUAUAAGCUCCUUAUUAAAUAAUCCUUUGGCUAGGUCAUUAAUAAACGAAUUAAGCAAUAAUCCUGAAAUGUUAUCUAACUUAAUAUCGAACAAUCCAUUACUAAGAAAUACCUUUUCACAAAGCCCACUUAUGCAACCUGUUUUAGAAAACCCAAAUUUAUUAAGAGAGUUAAUGCGACCAGAAGUGUUACAAGCUGGUUUACAAUUUGAAAAUGCAUUUAAUAUGAAUAACCCUAACAAUCCAAAUAAUGUUGCAAUGAAUCCUAAUGCUAAUCCUACCCCAACCACUAAUACUAAUGCUAAUACAACUACAGCAAGUAAUGCUACGAACCCUGGUAAUAAUAAUAUAAGAGGAGGACUUAGAUUAGAUGAUUUUAUAAACAAUUUUGGAGCUUUUGUUAAUACAAACAAUCCUUCGAACCCUAAUAACACAACUGAUAAUAACAAUAACCCAGCUAAUAAUAAUUUAAAUGCAUUAUUUCAAUCGCCAGAAUUAUUACAAACUUUUCAACAAAUGUUAGGAUCAAAUCGUAACUUUAGUAAUUUUAAUUUUCCAGGUGCUAAUCAAGGUAUGGAUUUUAAUGCUGCCAAUUUAACGGAUGAUAGACCACCUGAAGAAAAAUAUGCAUCCCAAUUAAUGAGUUUGCAAGAAAUGGGUUUUAUUGACAAUGAUGCGAAUAUUCAAGCAUUACAAGAGACAGGUGGAGAUGUUAAUUCAGCUAUAACACGAUUAUUAG
ensembl:lncRNA